rfam:Fukomys damarensis contig90628, whole genome shotgun sequence.
CCAGAGGCUCUUUUCAGAGCCAACUACCUGUUUGCAAAAGGUGUGU